UAUUAAGUUUGAUUUUGGUUUUAGUUGUAUUAAGAUAGUAUUACUUAUUUUUAGUUUAUCGAGUGUGUAAUUUUUUGUUCACUGGUAGUUUUUUAAUUGUUUUAUUGAUGUUCCAGAAUAAUCGGCUAUACAUUUUAAUUUUUAACUCUAUUUGUUGUAAUAUUACGAUUUUUUUUGUUUUUUUGUUUUAUGUUUUUUUUUGUAAAAUAUUUAAAUUUAUUUAUGUUUUUUUGUAAUAUUGAAAAUUUGGUGUUUGAACUGGAUUAGUACCCAGGUAAUCAAAAUUUAUUAAUUCGGGAGUAAAGUUUUGUUUAAACCGAAAAAAUAUUGACUGACUUUAGAUUUUUCUUUGGAAUAUGUGUUUUUUUGGAGAGCCCUCUUUUAUAGUGAAUUUUGUUGGCGCAUGUAUGAUUGUUUAGUUUUUACUUUUUUGGUAAUGCUUUGUGUUUUAUACAUUUAAAACAGAUAUAUAUUUGGCUUAUGGAUUUAUUUUUCAUGUGUUACUAUUGUUAAUUUUCUUUGGAUUAAUUUUUAAUUUUUUUGUUGAAAUUGGAAAAGAAAGUAAUUUUUUCUUAAUGUAAUAAUGAAUUUUAAUAAAUAAAGUGGUACAAACCAUCCGUCAAUGGCCUAAAGGGGCGUAAGUUGUAGUAUGGUAGAGGUAAGGAAACUUGUUUCUAUUUUUUUUUGG
rnacentral:ncRNA from 1 species